rnacentral:rRNA from 1 species
GACGGAGGGGGCUAGCGUUGUUCGGAAUUACUGGGCGUAAAGCGUGCGCAGGCGGUUUGCUAAGACAGGUGUGAAAUCCCCGGGCUUAACCUGGGAACUGCGCUUGUAACUGGCAAGCUUGAGUGUGGCAGAGGGGGGUGGAAUUCCACGUGUAGCAGUGAAAUGCGUAGAGAUGUGGAGGAACACCGAUGGCGAAGGCAGCCCCCUGGGCUAACACUGACGCUCAUGCACGAAAGCGUGGGGAGCAAACAGG